AUUUAUAUAGUUUAAAUAAAACACUACAUUUUCACUGUAAAAAUAAUACAUAAAUAUUUAUAAAUA
rnacentral:tRNA from 1 species